CACUCCCCCAUGCUGCCCUGCGGCGCUGACGUCAUCCACGCAUGCGCAGUCACAGGUUCUAUCGCCGAUGUUCCUGCCGCCGCCCGCGGCUGCCCCGUGCCCGCUCGCAGCCGCAGCUUUUCCACCGCCCUCCGUACCGGCCUCUCAAGCCGCGGGGGGGAGAGCAAGGACGGGCACGGGGCCCCGGCUCUACAACUGCUGACAGCCGCGUCGCCUCUGCCACCGCCCGGCCCAGCCGCUGUCCGGUCCCCGCCGUGCGUCUUCACGUCCCCGCGUCCACCACCGCAGCCGCCCGACGCCGGCACACGGUCCCCGCCUGUCUCUGCCCCGCUGCUAACACCGGCACAGAUCCCGUCUGUAUCCACUGCGCCAGCGACUCUCCCCGACAACGCGGAACAGCGAGAGCCGCGGCCCCAGCGCACCGAUGUGCUGCCACUUCCGGGUUCACCUACGCGGCCACCGUCGCAGCCGAUGACGAAACAACCGCGCGACUCUGGAGCUGCCCUGCGGCGGCAGCAGCAGCCGCGGAACACGGGGGAGAACGGGAGCGGGAAAUGGAGGGAAAUGAGGAGAGAGAUUAUUCGGAAGCAGAGACUGGAGCACCAACAGGGACAGUGCAAACACAGGAACUUAGAAAGACUUUGACAGAAAGUGAUCUACCAGAGACAGUUUGGGGCCUGGAGUAUCCCAGCUUCAUAAUUGUUUGUCACAGUUUGGCUCCUGGCAGAGGAAGAGAGUCUGUUCUUGGCUGUUGGCUGUCGGUGUCACCCCCUGUUGGUGUCCCCACCCCCCUUUGCCAUCCCCCUGCCAGGGGUGGGAGCUGUGCAGGGCCGGGGCUGCGUCACCUUUGGAGAAGCUGCUGCUGUAUUGUGAAAUCUGCAGAGGUUACUUGGAAGCCUGGGACAAGAGCUGAGCAAUAA
rnacentral:lncRNA from 1 species